rnacentral:rRNA from 1 species
UACAGAGGGGGCAAGCGUUGUUCGGAAUUACUGGGCGUAAAGGGCGCGUAGGCGGCCUUCUAAGUCGAACGUGAAAUCCCCGGGCUCAACCCGGGAACUGCGUCCGAUACUGGGAGGCUUGAAUCCGGGAGAGGGAUGUGGAAUUCCAGGUGUAGCGGUGAAAUGCGUAGAUAUCGGGAGGAACACCAGUGGCGAAGGCGGCUCUCUGGACAGGUACUGACGCUGAGACGCGAAAGCGUGGGUAGCAAACAGG